AAAUCGGUAGGUAAGGCUACCAAAGGGAUAGGUUAUCCGCAAUUUGCAUUUAUGUUUUUUGCAGAUAUAAUGGAUACGGACUGCUGCCGUGAAAAGUGGAGACACUGUAAGCAGGUCAACAGGUUACAUCGAAUUCAAGGUGUAAUUUAACGCAGUUUCAUUGCCCUUUGAUGCUAAAGCUUGAACGGAA
rnacentral:sRNA from 1 species